UGUACCAUAGCUAGGGAUGUAUAUGAUCAAGAGUAAAGAUCCUUUCUUCUCAAUCUUGCCACUUGGAGCUUUUGUAAAUUUUUGAAAGAAAAUUAGCAUACCUUUUUAUCCUCAUAGGUUCUCUCAGAUCACUCAUUAUCUUUUAUAUACAUCUCACUGAGGUUGUUUUAUUUUUGCAAAAAUUCUCAAGCAUACUUACUUUGCAUUUAUUGCCUGGUCAAAACGGGAUCCGAGGAGGGGAAUGUCAUACUCUUAGAUCAAAGACUUUGGAAAUUAAAAUCUUUGUCAACUCUUGCUGGCAUAUUGCUUAUUAGAGGGACCAUGGGCUAUCAUUUUUUUCUCUUUUCUCUCUCUUUUUUUUAAGUGGAUACCGAGGUACCCCUAAUUCUACUGCCGGACACUUGUCCAUUUUUUCUGCGAGGUUGUCGAGCACUUGCUCCUUUUUAUUUCCUCGAAAUAUCUUCUAUUUUUGCAUAGCCCAUGCCUCUAAUGCAAUAAUACUUAGGAAGAGUGAAUCUUUCUGAAAUAAUGUCUUGAUCUUAGGAGCAUGAUAAAUCUCUCAACAAGGGUCUAACU
rnacentral:lncRNA from 1 species